UACGGAGGGUGCAAGCGUUAGUCGGAAUUACUGGGCGUAAAGGGUGCGUAGGCGGGAAUAUAAGUCAGAUGUGAAAAACUGAAGCUCAACUUCAGCCGUGCAUCUGAAACUGUAUUUCUAGAGGAAAGGCGGAGAAAACGGAAUUCCACGUGUAGCGGUGAAAUGCGUAGAUAUGUGGAAGAACACCAGUGGCGAAGGCGGUUUUCUAGCUUCGUCCUGACGCUGAGGCACGAAAGCAAGGGGAGCAAACAGG
rnacentral:rRNA from 1 species